CCUACGGGUGGCAGCAGUGAGGAAUAUUGGUCAAUGGGCGCGAGCCUGAACCAGCCAAGUAGCGUGAAGGAUGACUGCCCUACGGGUUGUAAACUUCUUUUAUAAAGGAAUAAAGUGAGGCACGUGUGCCUUUUUGUAUGUACUUUAUGAAUAAGGAUCGGCUAACUCCGUGCCAGCAGCCGCGGUAAUACGGAGGAUCCGAGCGGUAUCCGGAUUUAUUGGGUUUAAAGGGUGCGUAGGGGGGUCGUUAAGUCAGUUGUCAAAAUUUACGGCUCAUCCGUUUCCUCGCAAUUGAUACUGGCGGUCUUGAGUGGAAGAGAGGUAGGCGGAAUGCGUGGUGUAGCGGUGAAAUGCAUAGAUAUCACGAAGAACCCCGAUUGCGAAGGCAGCAUGCCGGCUUCCCACUGACGCUGAAGCACGAAAGCGUGGGGAUCGAACAGGAUUAGAUACCCUAGUAGUC
rnacentral:rRNA from 1 species